rnacentral:rRNA from 1 species
UACGGAGGGAGCUAGCGUUGUUCGGAAUUACUGGGCGUAAAGCGCACGUAGGCGGCUUUGUAAGUUAGAGGUGAAAGCCCGGGGCUCAACCCCGGAAUUGCCUUUAAGACUGCAUCGCUUGAAUCCGGGAGAGGUGAGUGGAAUUCCGAGUGUAGAGGUGAAAUUCGUAGAUAUUCGGAAGAACACCAGUGGCGAAGGCGGCUCACUGGGACCGGUAUUGAC